AGGGCAGUGGCUCAAUUGGUAGAGCACCGGUCUCCAAAACCGGGGGUUGGGGGUUCGAGUCCCUCCUGCCCUG
rnacentral:tRNA from 3 species